AUUGAACGCUGGCGGCAUGCCUUACACAUGCAAGUCGAACGGCAGCACGGGGCAACCUGGUGGCGAGUGGCGAACGGGUGAGUAAUGCAUCGGAACGUGCCCAGUAGUGGGGGAUAACCAGUCGAAAGACUGGCUAAUACCGCAUACGACCCAAGGGUGAAAGCGGGGGACCGUAAGGCCUCGCGCUAUUGGAGCGGCCGAUGUCUGAUUAGCUAGUUGGCGGGGUAAGAGCCCACCAAGGCGACGAUCAGUAGCUGGUCUGAGAGGACGACCAGCCAGACUGGGACUGGGACACGGCCCAGAAUCCUACGGGAGGAAGCAGGGGGGAAUUUUGGACAAUGGGCGCAAGCCUGAUCCGGCCAUGCCGCGUGCGGGAAGGAGGCCUUCGGGUUGUAAACCGCUCUUGGCAGGAACGAAACGGCGCAAGCCAAUACCUUGCGCUAAUGACGGUACCUGCAGAAUAAGCACCGGCUAACUACGUGCCAGCCGCCGCCGUAAAAC
rnacentral:rRNA from 1 species